rnacentral:rRNA from 1 species
UACGGAGGAGGCAAGCGUUAUCCGGAAUGAUUGGGCGUAAAGCGUCCGCAGGUGGCAGUUCAAGUCUGCUGUCAAAGACCGGGGCUUAACUUCGGAAAGGCAGUGGAAACUGAACAGCUAGAGUAUGGUAGGGGCAGAGGGAAUUCCUGGUGUAGCGGUGAAAUGCGUAGAGAUCAGGAAGAACACCGGUGGCGAAAGCGCUCUGCUGGACCUUAACUGACACUGAGGGACGAAAGCUAGGGGAGCGAAUGGG